ensembl:snRNA U6 U6 spliceosomal RNA
GUGCUGGCUUCGGCAGCACGUAUACUAAAGUUGGAAGUAUACAGAGAAGAUUAGCAUGGGGCUCUUGCGCAAGGAUUACACACAAAUUUGUGAAGUGUUCAAUCUUUUC